UACGUAGGGGGCAAGCGUUGUCCGGAAUCAUUGGGCGUAAAGAGCGUGUAGGCGGCCAGAAAAGUCCGCUGUGAAAACUCGAGGCUCAACUUCGAGCUGUCGGUGGAAACUUUCUGGCUAGAGUCCGGAAGAGGAGAAUGGAAUUCCUGGUGUAGCGGUGAAAUGCGCAGAUAUCAGGAAGAACACCGGUGGCGAAGGCGGGUCUCUGGGCAGUAACUGACGCUGAGGAGCGAAAGCGUGGGGAGCGAACAGG
rnacentral:rRNA from 1 species